AUUGAACGCUGGCGGCAUGCCUUACACAUGCAAGUCGAACGGCAGCACGGGAGCAAUCCUGGUGGCGAGUGGCGAACGGGUGAGUAAUAUAUCGGAACGUGCCCAGUCGUGGGGAUAACGUAGCGAAAGCUACGCUAAUACCGCAUACGAUCUACGGAUGAAAGCGGGGGAUCGCAAGACCUCGCGCGAUUGGAGCGGCCGAUAUCAGAUUAGGUAGUUGGUGAGGUAAAGGCUCACCAAGCCGACGAUCUGUAGCUGGUCUGAGAGGACGACCAGCCACACUGGGACUGAGACACGGCCCAGACUCCUACGGGAGGCAGCAGUGGGGAAUUUUGGACAAUGGGCGCAAGCCUGAUCCAGCAAUGCCGCGUGCAGGAUGAAGGCCUUC
rnacentral:rRNA from 1 species